UACGGAGGGUGCAAGCGUUAAUCGGAAUUACUGGGCGUAAAGCGUGCGUAGGCGGUUCGUUAAGUCUGUUGUGAAAGCCCCGGGCUCAACCUGGGAAUGGCAAUGGAUACUGGCGAGCUAGAGUGUGUCAGAGGAUGGUGGAAUUCCCGGUGUAGCGGUGAAAUGCGUAGAGAUCGGGAGGAACAUCAGUGGCGAAGGCGGCCAUCUGGGGACAACACUGACGCUGAGGCACGAAAAGCGUGGGGAGCAAACAGG
rnacentral:rRNA from 1 species